AGUAGAGUGUGUCAGUUGGUUUUUGUGAAGGCUCUGAAUAUCGACACACUGUCUCUGUUCUUCAGCACAGGGCCUGAUUACGCCCGCUUCUGAGUGAGACACCCAUCUAUUUUCUAUCCUCCUCGCAGCGAUGAUCUGCCCAUUGAGCCGGCCGUGGAGGCGCCGGCCAAACCGCCCCUUUCUGAUGAUGAUGAUGAUGAAGAGGAGGAGGUGGAGGAGGAGCAGCCUGAUGAAGCUCACUAUGACUCCUUGGAGAAGACCUCGACUCCCCCGGAGGAGUACUGAGCUCUGUUGGCUUUAAACCAGCUGCAGGAGCAUCUGUGCUCCCUCAGCUGUGAUUCAACCUCACUGCGACUGUAGAGUGCUCCAGGAAGGAGUCUGAAAACCCACAGAUGAGUUUCACUUUCUGGUUCCCCAGAUUACCUUAUUGAACAAAAAGCAUCAGAAAAAUUUGUGUACCACAGAGCUUAUUUUCUGCAAUGAUCCAAAAAUCCCACAGGCUGUUUGCUGAGGAAACCAGGGUGAGGCUAAUCUCAGGGUUAGACUACAGAAAAACCCUGCAGCACUCUGUUCAACAAAAAUGAUUCAGACCAGAAAAUGAAGCAUCACAACAAUCCACAUUUACAGAAAUGUGUUAGCUGAGAGAUCAUGUAAAUAAAAUCAGAUUUAUGUUGGAUCAUGUAGCACACUGACAGACCGUCUAAAUUUGCUCUUGAUUGUUUUCCUCAGAGUUGUAUUUCUGUUUGUGCUCACACUGAUGGGAAAUAAUGACAGAUAUCAGUGGAGCUGCUUCACCUGUUCACAGUUAAAACACACCAGGAGCAUGUGGGGUGACAGAGUGUGUGUCGGCUCGCUCAGUUCAGUUACAGAGCCGGAGCUAUUGCCUCUUACAUUAAAUCGGCAAUCCAGAGACUCGUGACGGGUUCUUCAUGGAGACUGAUGACAUUUUCUGACACAGCUUCCUCCCCCAACAAAGGGCUUCACUUGUCAGCAGGUGUUUCACCUGUUAAACUGCCUCCUCACGGGGCGAGCACACCCACCUGUGCUGGUGUUGCCUCCAACACUCUUACACACAUCACAUAAAAAAAGCAGCGUCUGGUAUUAGUCUGGACAAAGAUGGAAAAUUUAAAGUGCGACCGCUCAGAGAGAAACUGCACAGACACACGAGUCAGUGAGAUAGAAGUAUGAAAUAAAUUAUCUAGAGAAAUCAGCAGCAUCUGUGGGUUAAGUAAGUGAUAAGCACUCGACUCAUAGUUCUGUAUAUUCAACCAAUCGUGCACUCACAGGAAAUCCUAUAGUAAUAAUAGUUGUAACAAGGAUUUGAUGUUUGAUUAAUAUUGUGUACAAGCAGUUUGCAAGAUGUUCUUAAAACAUUUUCAACAGAGAAAUAAAAUAAUACGAUCAAGUGGAAAAAAAAUGUAAUUUCAUAUCAACUUCUAUCAUGUUUAAUUUUGAUGUAGAAAGAUGAGAAAUCAGGAUUACACUGAUACAGGUUGUUAUUAGUUUCAUCGAGCUGAUGAUACCGGACUUUUGUUCAAAAAUCAGUGGGGAACCCUUUGAAAUUUAAGAAAAUUAGUUUGUUUUCUGUCAAAAACAGAAAAAAGAAAAAGUAUGACCCAAAAAAUAAAAAAAAAUAAAAUGACAUGCUAGCAACACAAAAAUAAUGCCAGUGCAAUCUAUUAUGAAAGCUCACAGUUACAAACACAUUGUAAACGUGGUAAAGGUUGGUUCAGUUUAGGGAAAGAAAAACACUUAGAGAACAAAAAAAUACUUGGUCAAGAAAAAGAUUUUGGUUUUGGUUAAGAUGAAGUGACGGUAACUUUCGUAAUUAAGUAAAGUACCUACGUAAAAAUAGUUUGCAUAGUAACGUAUGGUUAUAAAGUCAGGUGAUUACAUUAGCUUGUGGUUACACACAGGACACAAACAGCAGUCUCCUGGUUACAAGUCUGUGUUUGUUUGGUCACCUGUCCUGCCUGCCUUUUGCAGACUUUCUCUCUUUUUUUAAGUAAUUUCUGUGUCCACCACCACAAAAGAUCAUCAUUUACUUGCAUUUACAUUGUUGUGGUGUUGCCUGAACGUUACUUUAACACAUUUUGUGCACACUGCCACAUUGUUGAGCAUUUGUGUCACAUGCUAUGAGACUGGGGUGAGUCACUAGAUGGCAGUGCGGGCCGAGCUCAUGCCUGGGUUUAGUUACUCGAUAAAAAUAUCUUGGCAUCUUAAAAAUGAUGUGCUCUCGCUUCCAGCUGGUCAAAUAAUAACACUUAGGCAUUGGCUUCAAACCUUGAUGCUGUUGGGAUCCAUCGCCAAUCAUUUUCAGUGUCUUUGAAACUUUUGACUCAGUUUUUGGGUUUGGCAACAAAAGUUUGUGGUUAUUUAGGCAAAGAAAAAUGAUCAUGGUAUUCUUUUUUAUGUAACAUACAUUAUGUGACCUAUUUACGUAUUUAAAAUAACUCAAUGUUAAAUUCACAUGAGACACAAACAGCGGUCUCCUGGGUGAAAGUCCUGUGUUUUUUUGACCCCUCCAUCACCUCAAUCUCCUGACCUUUGUCGACUUGUUCGCUCUUUGUGUCAGUUAUUCUUUACACUACUGUUUAAAAAUGAUGUGGCCCAUAGCAUCUAACAGACGCUAAAGGGUAAAUGGUAUCAGGCGAUGGGAGCAGCGGACUAACUGUUGGUAUUUGACACAUUGGGAGUGAGACCAUCCCGUUCAGUUCAAAACUCGGCUCAAACUAAUAAAACCUGUAUUGGUGUAACUCUAAGUGAUACAUGAAGACUGAUAAAAAUUCUAAAAAUUGAUGACAGUCAAACCUGUGUCGUGAUUUGAUGGCAAACACUGUCAGUUUAAUUUUGAGAAUAAAGAAUCAAGUAUUUACACA